rnacentral:rRNA from 1 species
GAUGAACGCUGGCGGCGUGCCUAAUACAUGCAAGUCGAGCGAACAGAUAAGGAGCUUGCUCCUUUGACGUUAGCGGCGGACGGGUGAGUAGCACGUGGGUAACCUACCUAUAAGACUGGAAUAACUCCGGGAAACCGGGGCUAAUGCAGGAUAACAUGUUGAACCGCAUGGUUCUACAGUGAAAGGCGGCUUUGCUGUCACUUAUAGAUGGACCCGCGCCGUAUUAGCUAGUUGGUGAGGUAACGGCUCACCAAGGCAACGAUACGUAGCCGACCUGAGAGGGUGAUCGGCCACACUGGAACUGAGACACGGUCCAGACUCCUACGGGAGGCAGCAGUAGGGAAUCUUCCGCAAUGGGCGAAAGCCUGACGGAGCAACGCCGCGUGAGUGAUGAAGGUCUUCGGAUCGUAAAACUCUGUUAUUAGGGAAGAACAAAUGCGUAAGUAACUGUGCGCGUCUUGACGGUACCUAAUCAGAAAGCCACGGCUAACUACGUG